rnacentral:snoRNA from 1 species
CCUCUGCGGUGAUGAAUUAUAAAAAAGUCCACAUGUCAGACUUAGGAGAUAAUCAAUGAGCAGAAAAUUGAUUUUUCUGAGCAGAAA